CCUAUUUUACUUCCAAAAUCAGAUAUUCGGGGGGAAAAGAGACAACGAGGUUCAAUUAUUUGUUGAAUAGCAUGGGUAGCCCUGAAAAUAGCAGGGGGUGGACACCUCAAACUGAUUUUUUUGAUGUUAUACAUGACCUAUACCACACAGAUGUGAACGCUGAGGCACCUGUGAUAAAGAAAAGAGUUUUAAAAGCAAGACAUACAAUCCAGAGUUAAGCACUCAAAGCCUUCAGCUUGUUGUUGUUAUAUGCUGUCAAGUCAACUCCGACCCAUGGCAACCCUACGCUUGAGCAACCUCAAGAAUGUCCUGUCAUUCACAGCGGUUGCAAACUCAAGGCCGUGCCUUCAUUUCCUUCAACUGAGGAUCCUCCCUCUGCCUACAAAGCAAGAAGAAACAUGAACAAAGAAACAUGAACAACACAAACCUGUCUAUAUUUUGCAGAUGACUUUAAUCUGAGAUCUGAUUGGAUCUGAGUGGCAAGAAGAGAUGAGGAAUCAAGAGACCAACCUGCCUCCAUUCAAGUCUGCAAGUUUCAUACUACAGCUGGAAUCCGUCAAGGAUGAAAUAGAAACAUCUGGCAACAAUUCAGAAGGGAAAGGACAAGUGCAGGGCAUUUUUCUUUUACAAAGGUAACAAAACAUAUAGCUGUAGAAGUGGAAUGGACAAAGGAAGGAAGGGACCUAAGCUGGAAAUGUUUCUAUUUGCUUCUUGCUUAGAGGUACCUAGUCCUAGAGAAUUAUCAAAGACUGACAUCAGAAAACACACAAAGCGAAGGAGAAGAGAGCGCGAUGUCACCACAGGAGAAUGCUGAACUCUGAAGAUGUGAAUUUAAACCUCUUAACAGUUUUAAUCAUUUCUUAGUAUGAAACAGUCAACUUUAUGGCCAUGUGAAGACCUUCUGUUCUGAAUGAUAACAGCCUGACCACUGAAACGUGAAGCUUCAGAAUUUGAUUUUACAAAUCACGGCCCACAGUUUUAUUUGUAUUCCCUGAAGUUUUUUUUAAUUACCAUGAAAUCUGCUUUGGAUGCAUAUUUUAAAAACCACCUUACUGACCACAAAUUGUGAAUGGAGCAAAUUCAAGGUGGCAUAGAUGACAAAUGUCAUCUUUGUUGUGGGUUUCAAUGAGUGUGAACAUAUGAAAGAA